CCUACGGUGCGCAGCAGUGAGGAAUAUUGGUCAAUGGCCGGAAGGCUGAACCAGCCAAGCCGCGUGAAGGACGCAGGUGCCAAGCAUUGUAAACUUCUUUUGUCAAGGGACAAAAUCAGGCUCGAGAGCCUGACCGAGGGUACUUUAAGAAAAAGCAUCGGCUAACUACGUGCCAGCAGCCGCGGUAAUACGGAGGAUGCGGGCGUUGUCCGGAUUUAUUGGGUUUAGAGGGUGUGUGGGCGGACUGUUAAGUCCGCGGUAAAAGCCCGGGGCUCAACCCCGGCGAGCCGUUGAAACUGGCUGUCUUGAGAUGUCGAGAGGUAUGCGGAAUGCGCAGUGUAGCGGUGAAAUGCUUAGAUAUUGCGCAGAACUCCGAGUGCGAAGGCAGCAUACCGGCGGCGAUCUGACGCUGAGGCACGAAAGCGUGGGUAUCGAACAGGAUUAGAUACCCUAGUAGUC
rnacentral:rRNA from 1 species